rnacentral:tRNA from 1 species
AUUUAUAUAGUUUAAAAAAAACGUUAUAUUUUCAUUAUAAAAUUAGACUUAUCUUAUAAAUA